AUAUAAACCCGACAAAAGCGGCUAUCUCCCGAUUUUUCAUCGGGAAUAAUAGCGUAUGGCGGGACUGCUG
rnacentral:sRNA from 1 species